GGAUGAACGCUAGCGGCAGGCUUAACACAUGCAAGUCGAGGGGUAUAGGUUUUCGGACCUAGAGACCGGCGCACGGGUGCGUAACGCGUAUGCAAUCUACCUUUCACAGAGGGAUAGCCCAGAGAAAUUUGGAUUAAUACCUCAUAGUAUUGUAGAAUGGCAUCAUUUUAUAAUUAAAGUCACAACGGUGAAAGAUGAGCAUGCGUCCCAUUAGCUAGUUGGUAUGGUAACGGCAUACCAAGGCAACGAUGGGUAGGGGUCCUGAGAGGGAGAUCCCCCACACUGGUACUGAGACACGGACCAGACUCCUACGGGAGGCAGCAGUGAGGAAUAUUGGUCAAUGGGCGCAAGCCUGAACCAGCCAUGCCGCGUGCAGGAUGACGGUCCUAUGGAUUGUAAACUGCUUUUGCACAGGAAGAAACAACGCUACGUGUAGCGUCUUGACGGUACUGUGAGAAUAAGGAUCGGCUAACUCCGUG
rnacentral:rRNA from 1 species